rnacentral:lncRNA from 1 species
UUUCCCUUUUUCCGGUUGCUGUUAAGAUUCUCUGUCACUGGUCUUAACAAUUUGAUUAUGACGUGUCUUAGCGUAGUUUUCUUCAUGUUUCUUGGGGUUCCACAAGCAUUGCGGAUCUAUGGGUUUAUGUUUUUCAUCAAAUUUGAAAACUGUCAACCAUUAUGUCUUCAAAUACAUUUCUGUCCCCUCCUCUUCAGAGAUUCCAAAUACAUGUGUAUAUCAGGUCACCUAUAGCUUUACCAUUAACACAGCUCACUACAGUUCUACUCAUCUUUUCAGCCUUUUUUUCUAUGUUUUGAGGGAUAAUUUUCAUUUUUACAUAUUUAAGUUCAUUAAUCUUUCUUCUCAAAUAUUUAAUCUGAUAUUAAUUCUCUCUUUGACAUUGUCAUUCUCAUCUCUAGAGGUUCGACCUGAGUCUUUUCAUAAUUUCCAUAUCUCUACUUAAUAGUUGAUCUUUCCUCUAGGGUCUACAACAUGUAGAAUAAAACUAUAAUGAUUACUUUAAUAUUCUUGUCUAAAACUUCUAACAUCUGUGUCAUUUCUAGGUCGGUUUCAAUUGAUUGAUCUUUUUUCUCCUCAUGAUGAUUAUUUUUGCCUGCUUUUUCACAUACUUCAUAAUGUUUUAUAAAAUGCCAGACAUUAUGGAUUUUACCUUUUGGUAAUUUUAUAAAUAUUCUUGAACUUUGUUCUGGAACAUAGUUAAGUCACCCAGAAAUGGUAUGAUAUUUUCAAGUUUUGCUUUUUAACUUUGUUAGGCAGGACUCAAGCAGAGUUUAAUGUUCAAUCUAACAUUAACUUUCCCCACUACUAAGGCAAAACUCUACUGUGUAUUCUCCCCACUGCCCUGUGAAUUUUAAAGUUUUCACUUUGACUGGUGGGAACAGAAACUAUUCCCAUACCUGCAUGAGCUCUCAUCCAUUUGAGGAGUUCUUUCCCCAACUUUGGGUAUUCCCUCAAAUACAUGUGUUGAUGGUGAUUCCUCUGAAGACGGAUGAAAUUCAUUGGAAUUCUCCUCCCCAGAACUGUGUCCUGUAAACACUAGCCAUUGUGGACUCCCCAAGAGGAGACCUCUGUCUUCUCAACUCAGGGAGACUGCCAAGACCUGGGUUUUCUCUCCCUGACAACAUCCUGGAAACUCUCUCCACGUAGUAAAUUAGGCUUGUUUCAGGGCUCACUUGAUUUGUUUCCCUUCUCUCAGGGAUCACUGUCCUUUGUUUCCUGAUGUCUAGUGUCUUGAAAAUCACACUUUCAGGUAUUUGGCUCAGUACUUAGUGGUUAUAGAUAGGUAAGUAAAUCCAAUAUUAUUACUCUACCUUAGCCGAGAAGCAGAAAUUGAGAUAAUUGGGUUUUUGUUUACUUUCUCCUGUGAUCUUUUUAGUUUCUGUAAUAUAUAAUGUAUGUGUACAUUCAACAAAUCUUUAUCCAAUGCUUACUGUGGACCAGAUCCUAUAGUAGUGUUGGGAAAACAGUGCUCAUCAAGACAGACAUGGCUUGUACUCUAGGAAAUACAUCAGGCAAACCAAGAACUAUAUAAUUACCAUAAUUCAUCAGAUCUAAGAUGGCAUUGCUUGCAAGUUGCACCAUUAUUUUAUAUACCGCUGAAAAUGAAACACACUCACCAAUGAUACUUUUGAGACACAUACAACUGUAAGAUGCAUCCUGAUUUCAGAGAUGUUAAAAUAUUUGGAAACAUAUAUUAGAAAAUCAGGGAAAUAGAGUAAUAAUUAAUUAGUUAUGACAAGAGCUGAAACAGAGAAAUCCAGAAUGCUAGAAGAACAUAUAUCAGAAGGACCUGACUUAGCCUGGAGAAUCAAGGAAGAAUUCCAUGAAGAUAUAGCAUGUGAGCUGAGGUCAAAAAGGUGACCAAGCCUUGGCCUUGUGAAAUUGGGUAGAGGGAAGAGUAUUCUAAGCAGAGCAACCAGAUUAUACCAAGUUGACAAGGUGUGAAGGAGUUUUGCAUUGGCAGGAAACUGAAAGGUCCAUGUACCUCUAGGGUGAAUUUAGGGACUCCAGUGUGAUUUUGGACUUUACCCACAGAGAAACACAAGGCACUGUAGGCUUUAAGAGAAGGAGUUAUAAAAUUAGAUUUGUCUUGUUAAAACAUCACUCUGGCUUCUGGGGGAAGGACGGGCUGAGAAAAGCAAGGACAUCAGGCAGGAGGCAAUUAUAAGAAAGGAGGACCAUAGUAAUGGCAGUGGAGAGCAGGAAAAGUUCUCGAGAAAUGUUUAGAAAGCUGUGUCAAUGAGAUCUGGUGACUGGGUGGUGACAGUGAGGGAGAGGGAGGUGUAAGACUCAUAUUGCUGACAUAGAAAACCAGAUAAAUGGAGAAGCCAUUUACUCCAAUACAGUUCUCUGGAGGAGGAGAAGGUUUCAGAGGAGUAGAUAAUGAGCUCAUUUGGGGCACAAUGAAUGUAACAAGCCUGUACCUUUGAUGGGUUCUGGCUACAAUCAGUACAAAACAACCUUGGGUUGGAAGGAUAUCUGGCAGCUCACUGGUGCGUCAGAAAGGCUAGAGACCCAGUCAUCAAAAACAGACAAGAGGCAAGCAAAGUUCAAGUGAAAACAGCAUGUUGUCAAUGCUGCCAGGGGCUUCCCAAACCCUGAGCCCUUGCCAUCUUAACCCUGGGUGCUCAAUUUCUUCCGUAUCACUGUAAAUAACCUCUGAUUACCUCUGCCCCCCAAAGGCUCAGAGCUCUAGACUCAGAGUUUGAAACUGGCUGAGCUCUAGACUCAGAGUUUGAAACUGGCUGAGAACUAGAAGAGAAAACACCUGUGCCUCUUCCCCCAAAUACAAAGUGUUUUCCAGAGACAGUCUGCUAUGGGGUCUUUAGUUGCCAAGAAUGCAUUUAACAAGAGCUUGUCCAGAACUCAGGAGAGAGGUCUGGGCUGGAGAAGAAAUCUUGGUGUCCUCAGCCUAUGGAGGUGGCAUGCUGAGCCCAGGAGCAGAUGGCAUCACCCAGGAAGAGAAGAUAGAACAAGGAGAGAGGACUGCCCAUGACCAAGCCCGUCACACACUUGUGAGGAAUAAGCGAGUUAAGGCAUGAAAACAACAAUAUCACCAAACAUUUAAUCAGCACUUGUUGUAUAUUAGCACUUAGUAAUUUCAGACAGGUGGGUAUAUUUAGUCCCUGUAUCCACCUCAGCCAGACGUGGAAGUAGAGGUAAUGAUUUUUUUUUAAGUGUUUUCUUCUGGGAUUUUUUUCUCUCUACAUAUACUAGUCUCUGCAAUGUAGACCUGAGUGUAUAUAUUCAGCAAAUCUUUAUCAGGUGUCUACCCACCCUGGGCUAAGCACUUUCAUCCUCACAAACACUGUGUAAGGCAGGUACUAUUAUAAUCACCUCCAUCUUACAGGUGAGGAAAUGAGGCAAUAAGAAGUUUAGGUAACUUGCCUGGAGUCACACACCCAGAUGGUCAAGCUCCAGAGCCAGUGUUCCUAGCCACUAGGCCAUCCUGCCCCCACUAGCUCUAAGAAGUCCAAGGGUAGUAACAGGAAGUGAGGCAAGAGGUCCACAGCCAACGGAUGCAGGAACGGGCUGGGAAAUUGGAAGCUCACUAGGAGGCUCCUGAACAAGGCUCACAGGUCCAAAGUUUAUACCUUUGCAGCUGGCUUUUGGGUGAGUCUGGCAGAAUUAGAGGCCUAUGGAGAUGCAUAGACACCAAACCACUGAAAAUGCCCAUCCAUCUUCUAAUGACAAGCCUGACCCUUAGUGCUCUCUUAAGAUACAACCUCACUGUCUGUGACUUCAGGACACCCUAACAAGUGACUUCAAUGGAAAAAGACUCUGCCCCAAAUCAGCAGGGGCCCCCAGAACUUUGAUGGGGUUUCUAAAGCAUAGCAAGGCACCCUGUUCAGUGGAGCUCCUGAGCCAGAAAGGGUUUUGCCUGCUGACUUCACUUUUUAAUCUCUGCCAAGGGGUACCCCGUGGCCACCACAGGCUCUCCAUCAAGCCAUUUCUGGAAGGAAUUUCCACCAAGAAAAAAAUAGGCCGCUAUGACACAAUACAAGGAUGGGUAAGCCACCAGUGCGUGGUAUGUGUGGUAAUUUUGAAUACUUCCCCUGGAUUAAGCAACUGCCCCCAGCAAGGGUAGGAGCAGGAUAUAAUGCCAAACUAUUUGGGGUGGUUUGACAUGCUGCCCAAAUGCGAGCACAUGACCCUAAAAGAGACACUUUAAGGCUUUUUACCCCCUGCAGGAUUCAAACCUUAGAAAGGUUUGGGCCAUCACAAAAGAAACCUCUCAGCUGCCUACACCACCACCCCAUUCUCGCCAUUCCCCACCCCUUCCCCACAUCUGGUUUCUUACAUAGACCUACUUGGAGUUCUUGGCUAGUUCAUCCCGAUCCUCUCCUGACAGGAUCUCAGAACCUUAGAACUGGAGGGGGCUAUCAGGAAAACGCGCCAAGCUUAUUUUGCAGAUCACCGCUAGCAGAGUGGACUAGAACCUGCGGCUCCGGAACUAAUCUCCUCUCCGUCCUUUGCACUACACUGCCCUCUAGUGGCAUUGAAAGGAAAUUGGCUCUUGGGUCUGCAUCCAGUUUUUAAGGCUCUGACACUUCCUCGGGGAUUUGGGGCUCUAGGCUGUGUCUCUCUCUCUGAAAGUCUCACUCACUCUCUCUUGCACCCAUUUUGACCUCAAGGGGCCUGAUUCCUCCCUGGGAAGGACGAGAGGAAGGGAGACAUCUGUGGAAGGAGGUAAGGUGGAGCUGGCCCUGGUUCUUGGCUAGCAGAGCCCCUGUUCUUGGCAGGAAAAACCAUAUUGCAGAGAGAACCCAAAGAUCUUCUCUGAUAUAAAAAGCUGUGAAGUCACAAGCUUUAAAAGAGAUCUCCAAAGAGAUCUAUUUCCCAGGGUGACCAUUUCUAUUAUUUCAUCUCCUACCCUACAAGGAUCAAAAUCCCAAAUGCCUUUGAAAGCCAGACAAGAAUCCUAAGUGGAUGGAGAUGCAGGAGUGAGUGGGGGAUGGGAACUGUGAGUAUCUAGAGGACACACACAACCUGAAGAGCCUCAGACUCAAAAUUCUAAACACAUCUUUUUCUGGCCAUCCGCAGGUGGGCUCAUUUCACAAGACUCAUAUUUUCAAUUUCCUGCCUUACCGUCAAUUUUCCAGUAAUAUGUACUGAACACUUUCUGGUGUGGUGGGCACCGUUCUCCAUACUGCAGGUGUAGUGACUGUGUUAAAGGUCACACAACUCUGUGAAGUAGGUGUUAACAGCACCAUCUCCAUUAAUAAUGGGAAACCGAGGCCUUCGGCAGUUGUCCCUCUGUCAGACCGUUAGACAGUGGUCUGGCCAGGAUCUGAGCUCAGAUAAUCUGCCUCUAAAACCCAGUUUCUUUACCAUCAGUAUUAUAUACACAGCACAAGUAUGUACAGCUGUAGCCUUGGACAUUAUGGGAUGCCAGCUCUAUCACUAU